AUUGAACGCUGGCGGCAGGCCUAACACAUGCAAGUCGAGCGGAUGAAGGGAGCUUGUUCCUGGAUUCAGCGGCGGACGGGUGAGUAAUGCCUAGGUAUCUGCCUGGUAGUGGGGGAUAACGUCCGGAAACGGGCGCUAAUACCGCAUACGUCCUGAGGGAGAAAGUGGUGGAUCUUCGGACCUCACGCUAUCAGAUGACCCUAGGUCGGAUUAGCUAGUUGGUGGGGUAAAGGCCUACCAAGGCGACGAUCCGUAACUGCUCUGAGAGGAUGAUCAGUCACACUGGAACUGAGACACGGUCCAGACUCCUACGGGAGGCAGCAGUGGGGAAUAUUGGACAAUGGGCGAAAGCCUGAUCGAGCCAUGCCGCGUGUGUGAAGAAGGUCUUCGGAUUGUAAAGCACUUUAAGUUGGGAGGAAGGGCAGUAAGUGAAUACCUUGCUGUUUUGACGUUACCAACAGAAUAAGCACCGGCUAACUUCGUG
rnacentral:rRNA from 1 species